GACGAACGCUGGCGGCGUGCCUAAUACAUGCAAGUCGACCUUAGUGGCGAACGGGUGAGUAACACGGGGGUAACCUGCACAUCAGAAGGGGAUAACACUUGGAAACAGGUGCUAAUACCGUAUACUGAUGGAUGGACCCGCGGUGCAUUAGCUAGUGGGUGAGGUAACGGCUCACAAAGGCCAAGAUGCAUAGCCGCCCUGAGGGGUUGAUCGGCAACAUGUGGACUGAGACACGCCCCAAACUCCUACGGGAGGCAGCAGUAGGGAUUCUUCGGCAAUGGACGAAAGUCUGACCGAGCAACGCCGCGUUAGUGAAGAAGGUUUUCGGAUCGUAAAACUCUGUUUUUAGAGAAGCGGUAUCUAACCAGAAAGCCACGGCUAACUACGUGCCAGCAGCCGCGGUAAUUU
rnacentral:rRNA from 1 species